ACUCCUACGGGAGGCAGCAGUGGGGAAUUAUUGCACAAUGGGCAGCAAGCCUGAUGCAGCCAUGCCGCGUGUAUGAAGAAGGCCUUCGGGUUGUAAAGUAACUUUCAGCAGUGAGGAAGGCGGGUACGUUAAUAGCGUGCUCGUUUGACGUUAGCUGCAGAAAGAAGCACCGGCUAACUCCGUGCCAGCAGCCGCGGUAAUACGGAGGGUGCGAGCGUUAAUCGGAAUUACUGGGCGUAAAGCGCAUGCAGGUGGUUUGUUAAGUCAGAUGUGAAAGCCCGGGCUCAGCCUCAGCAUAGAUCAUUUUGAAACUGGCAGACUAGAGUACUGUAGAGGGGUGGAGAAGUUUUCAGGUGUAGCGGUGAAAUGCGUAGAGAUCUGAAGG
rnacentral:rRNA from 1 species